rnacentral:misc_RNA from 1 species
GCAGAUUGUAAACUGAAGAUGGAAGGAAUGGAGCAGUGGAAAAACGAGGCGAAGCAGUGGUUGCAACAGGGGAUUGAAUAUGCCCAUCAGAUACCUCCCACUCAGCUCUAUGCUACUGCUACUGUAUUGCUUCUAACCACGCUUUUCCUCUUAAUUGUUCGCUUGUUCAAACGCACAAAAUCUAAUACCAUUGUGCUCACUGGGCUCACUGGGAGUGGGAAAACUGUUCUUUUCUAUCAACUUCAAGAUGGUUCUUCACAUCAGGGCACUGUUACUUCAAUGGAACCAAAUGACGAAACUUUCAUUCUACAUUCUGAAAGCUCUAAGAAAGGCAAAAUAAAGCCUGUUCAUCUUGUUGAUGUUCCUGGGCAUUCUCGUCUUCGACCUAAACUAGAUGAGUUCUUGCCUCAAGCUGCUGGCAUAGUGUUUGUUGUUGAUGCUUUGGAGUUCUUGCCCAACUUGCGUGGAGUUUCAGAGUAAUUACAAGCCUUAAGAUAGUAUUUUUGAUUAAGCAUACAUGUUUACACACACAUCCACAAAUUCAGAUGUAAAUAUGCCAGUAUUCUGAUAAAUUAUAGCUAUUAUGUGAUAGAUAUCUGUAUGAUAUUUUGACCAAGGCAAGUGUCGUGAAAAGGAAAGUUCCAGUUCUCAUUUGUUGUAACAAGACUGACAAAGUGACAGCACAUACCAAGGAUUUCAUCCGAAAACAAUUGGAGAAAGAAAUGUAAAGCUUUAUCUUUUUUCUGGUUAAUGGCUUUCCUGUUGCAUGCAUUGUGAACAGUUGGUAGGAUCAUAUGCCCAGUUGGGUUUUUGGUGCCCACUUCAAGAAUUAUAACAGCUUGUACUCAUAACAAAUGUUAUGGCAAACAGCUUUAGUGCUUGGGAUCUGAUUUUCAUUACUAAGGAGAGUAUAAUCAGUUUCAGACAACAUUCCUAGUACCAUCACAUGCUUACUUUUGAGCCUUUUUUUUUUUAACCAGUUAUUAUGCAUACUUUUCAUUUUAAUAAGAUAUGGAUGCAGCUGUUAGACCUUUUUAUUUUCCUGUCGUCUUGCAGUGAAAAAUUACGAGUAUCAAGAAGUGGAAUAUCAGAAGCUGAUGUUGCAAAUGAGUUUACUCUUGGGAUCCCUGGGGAAUUAUUUACGUUCUCUCAUUGCAGUAACAAAGUUACCAUUGCAGAGUCUUCUGGCUUGACAGGCGAGAUAUCUCAGGUGGAACAGUUCAUUAGAGAACAUGUAAAGCCCUAGACUUAUGUUCUAUUUGACAACAUGUACUGUUGCUGUGUCUUCUUUGGAAGCUGGUUGUUGUUGCCUCCUAGUUGUUGGAAAAACUCGAGCAUGCCAUGAGGAACCACCUCAAUUUGCCAGCGGAAGCUGGAGGAAGGAAAAAGUAAAAGUGAAAAAGAGCGGAGGUUGAGGCAUGAUGGGCUAAUUUGCUUGAAACAAUGAUACAAAAACAAUUGAGACAAAUGUUUCUAUUUUUUUUUUCAUUCUAUUGAUAAUGAACUCUCUCUCUAGGUUGCCUUAUUGAUUGGUUGAUAUUAUAUUAUCCUUUUUUUUUUUGGUCAAUUAGCA